GCCAUAGCUCAGUGGCAGAGCACUUGACUUGCAUGCGGAAGGUCGCAGGUUCAGUCCCUGGCAUCUCCA